AUGGAAACUGGAAGCUUUAUCGCAUUCAAUCAAAUACAAGGUGGCUCAGCUGAGGAACCUCUUGUCAAUGCGUCCAUUUCUCUCCGUCAUGCAUGCAAAGGCUCUCAUUUGGAAAUGCGAGGGCGAACAGACAUGCUGACCCUCCUGGCUUUGGGGUGGACCAAAAGGAAAGUGGAACAACUGGGCCGCAGUUUGAGCCAGAGAUAUCUAAAGAUCAUAAGGAUCCUUAGAGAACAAAUGGAGAGCCUCAAUAUGACCAGAAAUGAGCUGGGUGUGGAUGACGACACACUGCAGCAAUGGGUGGCCGAUGUGCAGAAAUGGGCUGAAGAAACUGAUCAAACUGAUGGCAGCCUUGGAGCGUUGCAGGCACGACUAGAGGAGCUUGUCGUCAUCAUCAGAGUGCGAACACAAAGUCUUUACAGACAAAAUGAUAGCAACAAGAGGCGACGCAGAAUUCGCAAGGUCAUCUUAGAUGAGAAGAAACGCUUGGCGGCUGCUGUUGACGACUACAACAAGCUUGUUGAACCAACAGAGCAAAUCGUAUCCAGUGAUGCCCUCAUCCAGACCGACAUUUGGCUCUGGCAGAGCACAAGUGAACCUGCUGCUGACGUCCGGACAAAGAGAAAGGUCUUUGAGAAGGUGAUGGCUGUGAGGCGCCUGAGAGAGGACGAGAUGAUCCUUUGCAGGGAGAUGCGGCAUCACUGGACAGUGUUGCAAAUGCGAUCUGUGGUGUUGGGGACAAUCUCCUCAGACUCCUCCCUUGUUGGCAUGUCGGAGGAUGCACAGAAGGGACUCCGUAGCCUGGUUUAA
rnacentral:lncRNA from 1 species